UACAGAGGGUGCAAGCGUUGUCCGGAAUUAUUGGGCGUAAAGAGCUCGUAGGCGGCUUGUCACGUCUGCUGUGAAAACUCGGGGCUCAACCCCGAGCCUGCAGUGGAUACGGGCUAGCUAGAGUGCGGUAGGGGAGACUGGAAUUCCUGGUGUAGCGGUGAAAUGCGCAGAUAUCAGGAGGAACACCGGUGGCGAAGGCGGGUCUCUGGACCGAUACUGACGCUGAGGAGCGAAAGCGUGGGGAGCGAACAGG
rnacentral:rRNA from 1 species